AAUAUUGCACAAUGGAGGGAACUCUGAUGCAGCAACGCCGCGUGAGGGAAGAAGGNCUNNGGAUCNUNAACCUUUGUCAUCGANNNNNAUAAUGACGGUCCUCGAGGAGGAAGCCCCGGCUAGCUACGUGCCAGAAGCCGCGGUAACACGUAGGGGGCGAGCGUUGUCCGGAAUUACUGGGCGUAAAGGGCGCGUAGGCGGCCUAAUAAGUCAGAUGUGAAACCCCCGGGCUUAACCCUGGGCUUGCAUUUGAAACUGUUGGGCUUGGGGACAGGAGAGGAAAGCGGAAUUCCCAGUGUAGCGGUGAAAUGCGUAGAUAUUGGGAGGAACACCAGUGGCGAAGGCGGCUUUCUGGACUGUAACUGACGCUGAGGCGCGAAAGCCAGGGUAGCGAAC
rnacentral:rRNA from 1 species